rnacentral:rRNA from 1 species
UACGAAGGGGGCUAGCGUUGUUCGGAAUCACUGGGCGUAAAGGGCGCGUAGGCGGCCAUUCAAGUCGGGGGUGAAAGCCUGUGGCUUAACCACAGAAUUGCCUUCGAUAAUGUUUGGCUUGAGACCGGAAGAGGUAAGUGGAACUGCGAGUGUAGAGGUGAAAUUCGUAGAUAUUCGCAAGAACACCAGUGGCGAAGGCGGCUUACUGGUCCGGUUCUGACGCUGAGGCGCGAAAGCGUGGGGAGCAAACAGGAUUAGAAACCCUAGUAGU